rnacentral:rRNA from 1 species
GACGAACGCUGGCGGCGUGCUUAACACAUGCAAGUCGAACGGAAAGGCCCUGCUUUUGUGGGGUGCUCGAGUGGCGAACGGGUGAGUAACACGUGAGUAACCUGCCCUUGACUUUGGGAUAACUUCAGGUAACUGGGGCUAAUACCGGCUAGGAGCUCCUGCUGCAUGGUGGGGGUUGGAAAGUUUCGGCGGUUGGGGAUGGACUCGCGGCUUAUCAGCUUGUUGGUGGGGUAGUGGCUUACCAAGGCUUUGACGGGUAGCCGGCCUGAGAGGGUGACCGGCCACAUUGGGACUGAGAUACGGCCCAGACUCCUACGGGAGGCAGCAGUGGGGAAUAUUGCACAAUGGGCGGAAGCCUGAUGCAGCAACGCCGCGUGCGGGAUGACGGCCUUCGGGUUGUAAACCGCUUUCGCCUGUGACGAAGCGUGAGUGACGGUAAUGGGUAAAGAAGCACCGGCUAACUACGUG